UGAAGGGGAGGCAGGCGGGUCCAAGAAGAGAUUACGUGAGGCACAGCUGUUCGCUUCCUUUUCAGGAGAAGCGGUGAUGUUUCCUCAGUGAUUUGCCUCUAGUCAGAUAAACACAGCUGGUGGUAAGAGAUUCAUGAGGCCGGGCAGAGCUACACAUCUGCCCGAAAGAGGAAGGCAAGUACUGUACAAGCUAUGGUGCUCAUCUCAAGGAUUUUAUUUCUCAAGCUGAGACAGCAUAAAGACACACUGAAGAUAAAUCAUGGACCAUAUAACAAGAACAGGUGAAGACAUGCUGAUAUGAAAAUAACACAGAAGGUAAGAAAUCGUUUCGGUUUUCCUUUCUCAGUGUUUCUAUUUCAUAUCUUCUCAGUAAGUCAAACUGUGUGACUCCAGCGUUCUUAUUAAAUGCAGUGGUAGGGAGUUGAAGAAUAUGACGAUGGACAUGCAUUUGCUGCUUAAAGUAGAGAUGUCUGAGACACUAGUGAAGUUUUUGAUCAUGGUACAUUCAAGCUCCCCUUUUUAUGUUUAUGAACUGUAUACUACAUGUUCUUAUUGUCACCUGAAGAUGGAGAAGAAAAGGAGAAAGGUACAGCACAGGCAAAGCAGAAGAAAUAACAAAUGGAACAAAGCUCAAACAUACAGGAAAGAACAGUAAUAGUGAGAUUUUAUAUGAUGUUUUCCAUCUUGAGUAUGUCAUAAACUGAAAUUAGUAAUAACUGUAAACUAGCUGUUAUUUCCCUCACCAGACUGGAACUCAAUGAAUGGUGGUACUAUAAAAUCAUUAUAGUACUUUAAGAGCAUUUCCAGACAUACUGAUUCACCAGAACCUGAACUGUGUGCAGUUCUGGGUGCCACAAUGUAAGAAAGAUUUAAAACUACUGGAGAGCAUCCCAAGAAGGGCAACAAAGGUGCUGAAGGAUGUAGAGGGCAAGACAUAUGAGGGGCAGCUGAUGCUCCUGGUCUGUUCAGCCCAGAGGACGGGAGGCUGAUCUCAAAUGUUGUCCUGCGAUAACACAGCAUCAUCACCAGCUUCAGAGUGUGAUGAGACUCCUGAGUGUCAUUGGCUGACUUUGUCCAUGAGAAAGCUGAAUAAAUAAUUUGGGCCUGUCCAGUCCCAUUCUUUCCUGUUUCUUUUAUAUGUUUUCUCUACACUAUUGUUUUAUAACCUUGAAAUUUGCAGUAAUCUUUCAGAAAGCCCUAACAUAUACUGCAUGUUUUGUAUGAAAUUUGUCUAGCUUUUUCUAGUUACAAUAGUUGCUUGUUCUGUUG
rnacentral:lncRNA from 1 species